GAAUGAUACGUUAACGUUAAAGAUCAACAUCAAAGGUUGCACACAAGUUCCGCGACUCUGUCCAAAUGAUAAUUAUGACAAUAAUGUAGUUAAUGUUAACGUUUAAUUCAGACUUACACCGACUUCGCUGGUUUCCCCCUGAUAAGUUUAUUUUGAUGUUCGAUCAAACGGGUAUCGAUUUAGUUCUAAUUUCCCGCGACUCCCAAAACAGACUUCAGCAGUCGAGCUCCGAGGGCUCGAUAAGCCGGAGAAAGGAGGCAUCACCUCCUUUAUCAUGCGGAUGACCCCAAAGACAUUUGUCUCGAACACUUUCUUCAUCUCUUCAAUGGGGAUGCUCUCCACAGGACCCACCAGGCCGAUACCUGCAUUAUUGACUGGUUAGGAGAAGAAGAAAGAAACAAGGGAGACGGGGUGUAAUCAGUGUCAGUUUUAGUCAUUGCAACAAUCAAAGGUGCAGCGUGUUGAGGAUGCAUUCAGUUUUACUUACUAAGAACAUCCACAUGUCGAUCUUUGAUGCCAUUAAUACACUGUUUGACGGACUCAUCGCUGCAGACGUCGAGGACAGCCAGAGAGAGAGUCUUCCCAUAUGCAUCCCCCGCUGCCUCUACCAGCUUAUCUUUACGUUUCAGAUCACGCAUUGUGGCUAUGACUGUGGACAGUUGGAUGACAAGGGAAAAUAAAUAACGAACUGAGUUUGAAAGAGAUCAUUCAAUACCUAUGUAUUACACUGACUUGACAUGUUGUGAUUUUCUUUGGUAACACUUGUUUCUCUUUCUGUCAGGCCUGUAGAAACAUGUUAAUUUGAGCAGACAGAAAAAUGGGAAGAAAUUAUACUAAUAAGCCAUGUAAUUGGAGCUGAAUAAAGCUUUAUAGGAA